rnacentral:rRNA from 1 species
UUCUAUGGCCCUACCACCCUGAACGCGCCCGAUCUCGUCUGAUCUCGGAAGCUAAGCAAGGUCGGGCCUGGUUAGUACUUGGAUGGGAGAAUGGCCGUGUUUUUAGGCAGAUAAC